CUAGCGGCGGACGGGUGAGUAACGCGUGAGCAACCUGUCCCUUACAGGGGGAUAACACAGCGAAAGUUGUACUAAUACCGCAUAAGACCACGGUGAGACAUCUCACAGGGGUCAAAGGAGCAAUCCCGGUAAGGGGUGGGCUCGCGUCCGAUUAGAUAGUUGGUGAGGUAACGGCCCACCAAGUCGACGAUCGGUAGCCGACCUGAGAGGGUGAUCGGCCACAUUGGGACUGAGACACGGCCCAAACUCCUACGGGAGGCAGCAGUGGGGAAUAUUGGGCAAAUGGGGGGAACCCUGACCCAGCAACGCCGCGUGAGGGAAGAAGGUUUUCGGAUCGUAAACCUCUGUCCUUGGUGAAGAGUAAGAGACGGUAGCCAAGGAGGAAGCCCCGGCUAACUACGUGCCAGCCGCCGC
rnacentral:rRNA from 1 species